rnacentral:rRNA from 1 species
GCAGCCGCCGCGGGAAUACAGAGGGUGCGAGCGUUAAUCGGAUUUACUGGGCGUAAAGCGUGCGUAGGCGGCUUCUUAAGUCGGAUGUGAAAUCCCUGAGCUUAACUUAGGAAUUGCAUUCGAUACUGGGAAGCUAGAGUAUGGGAGAGGAUGGUAGAAUUCCAGGUGUAGCGGUGAAAUGCGUAGAGAUCUGGAGGAAUACCGAUGGCGAAGGCAGCCAUCUGGCCUAAUACUGACGCUGAGGUACGAAAGCAUGGGGAGCAAACAGGAUUAGAUACCCGUGUAGUCCCUGUCUCUUAUAC